rnacentral:rRNA from 1 species
ACGAACGCUGGCGGCGUGCCUAAUCCAUGCCAGUAGAACGCUGAAGGAGGAGCUUGCUUCUCUGGAUGAGUUGCGAACGGGUGAGUAACGCGUAGGUAACCUGCCUGGUAGCGGGGGAUAACUAUUGGAAACGAUAGCUAAUACCGCAUAAUAGCAGUUGUUGCAUGACAACUGUUUGAAAGGUGCAAUUGCACCACUACCAGAUGGACCUGCGUUGUAUUAGCUAGUUGGUGGGGUAACGGCUCACCAAGGCGACGAUACAUAGCCGACCUGAGAGGGUGAUCGGCCACACUGGGACUGAGACACGGCCCAGACUCCUACGGGAGGCAGCAGUAGGGAAUCUUCGGCAAUGGACGGAAGUCUGACCGAGCAACGCCGCGUGAGUGAAGAAGGUUUUCGGAUCGUAAAGCUCUGUUGUAAGAGAAGAACGAGUGUGAGAGUGGAAAGUUCACACUGUGACGGUAUCUUACCAGAAAGGGACGGCUAACUACGUG